rnacentral:rRNA from 5 species
GUUGACCUCGGAUCAGGUAGGAAUACCCGCUGAACUUAAGCAUAUCAAUAAGCCGGAGGAA